CGUCUAUAUACGUAUAGCAUAUCAAUAAGCGGAGGAAAAGAAACUAACUAGGAUUCCCUCAGUAACGGCGAGUGAAGCGGGAAGAGCUCAAAUUUGAAAUCUUCAAGGUUCUACCUUGACGAAUUGUAGUUUAAAGAAGUGUUUUCUGUUGGAGUUUUGGUAAAAGUUCUUUGGAAUAGGACAUCAUAGAGGGUGAGAAUCCCGUAUUUGACCAUUAUUUCCAACUUUGUGAUACACUUUCAAAGAGUCGGAUUGUUUGGGAAUGCAGUCCAAAAUGGGUGGUAAAUUUCAUCUAAAGCUAAAUACUGGCGAGAGACCGAUAGCGAACAAGUACCGUGAGGGAAAGAUGAAAAGAACUUUGAAAAGAGAGUUAAACAGUACGUGAAAUUGUCAAAAGGGAAGCGUUUGACACCAGUGUUGUUUUCUCGAAAAUCAAUUAAAAAUGGUGGGAUUUUGUGUUGUAUUGACUUUAUCAGCUUUCUGCACUUUUUUCCUAUCUUUUUUAAUGCACUUUUCGUUUAACAAGUCAACAUCAAUUUCUUUUGUUGUAAAAGGGUCAUUGGAAGGUGGCUUUCCUUUCGGAGAAAGUGUUUAUAGCCUUUGGCCUCUGCAAUCGGAGAGAUUGAGGUCUGCAGCGUAGAUCCUUCGGGGUUAGAUACAUUUGUGCUAAGUUAUAGCCUUUCAUAGACAACUUGUUGACUAUGAUCAGUCAUGUAGCUUACUCGCUUAUGUCAUUUUACCUACGCUUAGGAUGUUGACGAUCAGCUGAGCGCG
rnacentral:rRNA from 1 species